rnacentral:lncRNA from 1 species
CUUUAUUCUCCUCCAGAUAGAUCAGCAUAUUUAUUUAAAAGUACUUUCCACACUAUCCUAUUACAGUGAUUUCAUCUCAGGGUCUCAAGAUGGCCAGGUUUUGGACUUACACCAUAGGCUCUACUGGUCCUUAGGCCUUUGGACUGAGGCUGGAACCACAUCCUCAGCUCUCCUGGAUCUCCAGCUUGGCAACUGCAGACCUUGGGACAUUUCAGAUUCCAUAAUCAUGACGAAGGCGAUGGCAGCAGUUUUCCAGGCUAGCUGUCUUCACAACCCGAUGGCUCUCUUCUUUUCUGCUGCCACAGAGACUGACUGUCUGCCUCCUGCAAAUUUGAAAUUUGGCAAACCUGCCUCCUCUGCUUCUCAGAACCAAACUGGGGCCAGGAGAACUUCUGACCCAAGUGUUGAUCACCUCUCUUCCUGCACCUCACUGUGCACCCUCUGCUCAGGAAAUGCCUUUGGCGUGUUGCUGACGUCUGUCCCUGCUCCAUCUCUUACCACCCUGCACUUCACCCUUUCCCACACAGGUUUCACCUGAUCUCAGCUGCUUUGGGCAGACCAUCCAGGUAUUUUGGAGUCUGAAAAGGAUCUCUGUCUCUAAGUCUGGUGCAAAUGGAGUUUGGGGGUUUUAAAAUUCAUUCUUCUUGCUGCUGUUUCACAAUUUCUCAGAAAAGGUGAAAAUGCAGACUUUGGCAGUUAUGUUCAAUAUGAAAAGUCUUAAUAAAGUAAUUUUUGACCUAAA